rnacentral:rRNA from 1 species
UGAGAGGGCGACCGGCCACACUGGGACUGAGACACGGCCCAGACUCCUACGGGAGGCAGCAGUGGGGAAUAUUGCACAAUGGGCGAAAGCCUGAUGCAGCGACGCCGCGUGAGGGAUGACGGCCUUCGGGUUGUAAACCUCUUUCAGCAGGGAAGAAGCGAAAGUGACGGUACCUGCAGAAGAAGCGCCGGCUAACUACGUGCCAGCAGCCGCGGUAAUACGUAGGGCGCGAGCGUUGUCCGGAAUUAUUGGGCGUAAAGAGCUCGUAGGCGGCUUGUCGCGUCGGUUGUGAAAGCCCGGGGCUUAACCCCGGGUCUGCAGUCGAUACGGGCAGGCUAGAGUUCGGUAGGGGAGAUCGGAAUUCCUGGUGUAGCGGUGAAAUGCGCAGAUAUCAGGAGGAACACCGGUGGCGAAGGCGGAUCUCUGGGCCGAUACUGACGCUGAGGAGCGAAAGCGUGGGGAGCGAACAGGAUUAGAUACCCUGGUAGUCCACGCCGUAAACGGUGGGCACUAGGUGUGGGCGACAUUCCACGUCGUCCGUGCCGCAGCUAACGCAUUAAGUGCCCCGCCUGGGGAGUACGGCCGCAAGGCUAAAACUCAAAGGAAUUGACGGGGCCCCGCACAAGCGGCGGAGCAUGUGGCUUAUUUCGACGCAACGCGAAGAACCUUUACCAAGGCUUGACAUACACCGGAAAAGCAUCAGAGAUGGUGCCCCCCCUUGAUGAUCGGUGUACAGGUGGUGCAUGCUGUCGUCAGCUCGUGUCGUGAGA